GCUGUUUGGCUUUAAUAUGAUUUAUUUCCAAGAGGCUGCAGCCAUAAUCAGUGCCCUGUUAAAUUAUUAGAGCUAAUAUUAGGGCUUAUUCCCAGGAAGUGGUGAUGGUGGAGCACUUUAAAUGACACAAUUUAAUCUUCUUCAAGGAUUGACCAUCGAAGCAUAAUUUUCCACUGGUUCAUUACUGGAGGGUUAAACCAUUGAUUUGUACCUUCAGUCUGUUUCAAAAUGUCUAAACACAGAAAACCAAUGGGAAUGUGCACACCUUCAAGGAUUGUACUUAUUCAUGCAAUCCCGAACAUGGCUACACACAAUGAUCCUACUUUGUUGACAGACCUCAGUGAUGUCAAGAACAAAUGAUGGAGCUGAAACUUACUUGGUGCAGUUGUGCAGUCGCCCACUCGCCUCUCCUGCAACAUCAUCUGCCAGUGGUUUCUUCUUC